rnacentral:rRNA from 1 species
CAGUAGCCACGGUAAUACGAAGGGUACAAGCGUUAAUCGGAAUUACUGGGCGUAAAGCGUGCGUAGGCGGUUUGUUAAGUCUGCUGUGAAAUCCCCGGGCUCAACCUGGGAAUGGCAGUGGAUACUGGCAAGCUAGAGUGUGUCAGAGGAUGGUGGAAUUCCCGGUGUAGCGGUGAAAUGCGUAGAGAUCGGGAGGAACAUCAGUGGCGAAGGCGGCCAUCUGGGACAACACUGACGCUGAGGCACGAAAGCGUGGGGAGCAAACAGGAUUAGAGACCCCCGUAGUCCCUGUCUCUUAUAC